rnacentral:rRNA from 1 species
UACAUGGGGUGCAAACGUUGCUCGGAAUUAUUGGGCGUAAAGCGCACGUAGGCGGUUCGUUAAGUCGGAUGUGAAAGCCCUCAGCUCAACUGAGGAAGUGCGCCCGAAACUGCAGAGCUUGAGUACCGGAGAGGGUGGCGGAAUUCCCCAAGUAGAGGUGAAAUUCGUAGAUAUGGGGAGGAACACCGGUGGCGAAGGCGGCCACCUGGACGGUCACUGACGCUGAGACGCGAAAGCGUGGGGAGCAAACAGG